rnacentral:rRNA from 1 species
UAAUAAUAGUACCAUUGAUAUAGAAAUAGAGGAAAUGAUUUAAAUGUUGUUAUAAUCUUAGUAGUUACCUAAUAAAAAUGGUUUAGUAAAUGUAAUAGUACUGUGAGGGAAAGCAGCAAAUAAUAAAAAGUAAUGGUUAACACGUGUACCUUUUGCAUCAUGGUUUAGUAAGAUUGAAGUAUUAAAUAUUGAUGGUUCUCGAAGCCGGACGAGCGUCCUUUUCGUUACAUUUAGUGUAAAACCUUGCUUAUGUGGCAAUAUAAGGAGGAAAUAAAAAGGAAGGGUUGAGAUUUUAUUCGUGUCUGGGGAUAGCUAGUUUUUUCGAAAAUACAUGUUAGUGUAGCGGCCAUAUGUAUAACUAAGUCUUUUUCUAUACCAUGCGGAUUGAGGCUACGGUUAUUUUAUUUCCGUCAGGCAUUGGAGGCUAAGCUCUGAUGUUAAUAGAUUGUUGAAAUAUGCGUCUAUUUUAGAGGAGGGUGGCUUAAAAGUAGUUGGCCUGUUGUCAGUUUGUUAUAAGUGACUUAUUAUUUAUUAGCUACAUGCACCGAUAGAUCUAACACAGUAAUAAAUUUGACGAAGGUACAUUCAAUAAUAUCGGUGAUUGAAAAUAAUGCUAGAAUGAGUAUUUUACGGAGGACCACGAGGAAUACAUAGUUUUUCUAUCUACAAGGGAGAAUACUUGAAACUAGAGAUAAUAGUUACAUAUUUAGAAAAGGAAUUCGGCAAAUAAAACCUCCGCCUGUAUAACAAAAACAUGGCUCUUUGUCUCAGCUAUAAAGAGUCUGACCUGCUCUAUGAUUUUUUUAAUUUAAUGGCCGCGGUACCCUGACCGUGCAAAGGUAGCAUAAUCACUUGCCUUUUAAUUGGAGGCUGGUAUGAAUGGUUGGACGGGAGGUUGGCUGUCUCUACUAAAAUAUGAGAAUUUAAUCUAUAGGUACAAAAGCCUAUAUUAUAUUAAAAGACGAGAAGACCCUAGCGAGCUUUAUUCUAGCCGUGUAUGUCCUCGUUCACGGCAGAUUUUGGUUGGGGCGACAGAGGAAAAAACAGCAUCCUUGCUUUAUGGUGGAAUGAUGAUUAUAGAUCCAACUAAUGUUGAGUGACAGGUGAGCUACCGUAGGGAUAACAGCGUAAUCUUUUUAGAGAGUUCUAAUCGAAAAAAGGGUUUGCGACCUCGAUGUUGGACUAGGAUAUCCUAAGGGUGCAGAAGCUCUUGAGGGUCGGUCUGUUCGACCGUUAAUAUCCUACAUGAUCUGAGUUCAGACCGG